rnacentral:rRNA from 1 species
ACACCGGCAGCUCAAGUGGUGGCCGUUUUUAUUGGGCCUAAAGCGUUCGUAGCCGGCCUGAUAAGUCUCUGGUGAAAUCCUGCAGCUUAACUGUGGGAAUUGCUGGAGAUACUAUCAGGCUUGAGGUCGGGAGAGGUUAGAGGUACUCCCAGGGUAGGGGUGAAAUCCUGUAAUCCUGGGAGGACCACCUGUGGCGAAGGCGUCUAACUGGAACGAACCUGACGGUGAGGAACGAAAGCCAGGGGCGCGAACCGGAUUAGAUACCCGGGUAGUCCUGGCCGUAAACGAUGUGGACUUGGUGUUGGGAUGGCUUCGAGCUGCUCCAGUGCCGAAGGGAAGCUGUUAAGUCCACCGCCUGGGAAGUACGGUCGCAAGACUGAA